UAUUUAGUGGCAGACAAAUGUGACAGGUUUAGGUCCUGUAGAUGAGGCAGCUUCCUCCUAAAUAA
rnacentral:tRNA from 1 species